rnacentral:rRNA from 1 species
CGGGUGAGUAACACGUGAGUAACCUGCCCCCUUCUUCUGGAUAACCGCAUGAAAGUGUGGCUAAUACGGGAUAUUCUGCGCCUGCUGCAUGGUGGGUGUGGGAAAGAUAUUGUUUCGGUGGGGGAUGGGCUCGCGGCCUAUCAGCUUGUUGGUGGGGUGAUGGCCUACCAAGGCGGUGACGGGUAGCCGGCCUGAGCGGGUGGACGGUCACACUGGGACUGAGACACGGCCCAG